AGUAUAUGGGUAGGAUGUAGCAUACUCUGUUCUGAAAUAGAACUGUUACAGAUUUGUUGUUAUUGGCAUAAAGGUUAUAGAGAUUGAUGAUUCCAGAGUUCUUAGCACACUUUGCAAAGCGAGAAGGGGGACAGCCCUCUUCUAUUGCCCUGCAGAAGUGUUUCAUGGGUUGGAGUCUUUUGCACACAGGUGCUCUCUGGGUAUCUGCACGAUGGAGGAGGCCUUGGGAAGAAGCUGGUUCUUCAGAACAAGCUGGAUGAGGUUCCUGCAGAGUUGAUGUGACUGACUUCUUUUUGAAAUCCAGCAGUGCUCUCAAGGAUAUUUCCCCCCCACUCCUGGCCUUGUGCAGGGCUGUUGAGUCCGUGUGUGCCACUGUUCUUGUCCCAGGGGGACCGAGUGACAUUUGGAACCAAACCUGGGUCCUUGGGACCGAGCCCAGAACUGAUCCUGUUCAUGACCCACAAGGGAUGAAACUGUUCUGCAAGCCCAGUUUGCAGAGCAGGAGCUUUGCAAUAAUCAGCAGUGAGCACAGGAAUUCAUUCCCCCGAAAUGUUCUGGGAAGGUUCUGUGUGUGCCAGCCCUGCUUCCUCCCCAGUGUGCCCUCCUUUGUGCUCCUCUGCCUCAAGGCCAGGGCUGGCUUUGGCCCUGCCCUUGUCCAGGCAGGAGUGCCCGUGGGCAGUGGGUUUGUCAGCAGUGGGCACAGCUCCCAGGGGCUGUUCUGGCUUUGGCCCUGCCCUUGUCCAGGCAGGAGUGCCCGUGGGCAGUGGGUUUGUCAGCAGUGGGCACAGCUCCCAGGGGCUGUUCUGGCUUUGGCCCUGCCCUUGUCCAGGCAGGAGUGCCCGUGGGCAGUGGUUUGUCAGCAGUGGGCACAGCUCCCAGGGGCUGUUCUGGCUUUGGCCCUGCCCUUGUCCAGGCAGGAGUGCCCGUGGGCAGUGGUUUGUCAGCAGUGGGCACAGCUCCCAGGGGCUGUUCUGGCUGGGCACACGUUGGCACAGGGGUACUGCAGUCCCAAGGACUUGGCUUGGGGCUUUUCAGGAAGGGCCAGAAAGACUUUCUUUGGCCACUUUUACCAUUCCUGAAAGUGAAAUCUCUGCACUGAAACUUCUCUAAAUAAACUGUCCAUUUUUUUAUUCCCCUGGAGUGAAGCUCCCAAUUUUGGAUGCCAGGGUGCUGCCAGCUUUAUUUGCCCAGCUGGGAGCAGUGUCUGUACAGGUCCCCAGUGUCUCCUGUCCUUGUCCUUUCUCAGUUGGGAAGUGAGCUGCUCUCCUCCCCUCUGACUCUGCCCUGGUCCCCAGCACCUGCUGAAGUUCAAGAGAGCAGCAGCUUAGGCCAAAGGUGUUCCUGCCCUUUAUCUGCUCCCCCUCCAGCCACGGCCCUGGCAGGGAGAGCCAGCUCUGAGCUCCCAAAUCUGCAGUGCCCAGGCAGGUGACCCGGAGCAGCUGAGAGCUCUGGUGGGCUCACACUGUCAGCUUUGCUUCUCCAUUGGCUUGGCUGGUUCCCGUUAGGAGAAGGUUUGUUUCCUCCACUGUGAUAAUUCAGGGAAAUCCUGAGAUAUGAUUUAAGAAAGAAAGUCAUGAGCUAUUGCAAUAAAUGUGAAUCUGAGAGUGCCUAAAAGCUGUUGCUGAAUUCCAUUUCCAGGGACUGUCCUGGUGGGGAUACUCCAGAAUUGCAGCUUUGAUGUUUCCAAAGGAGCCUGUGGUACUUCUUGUUUCCUGUGCUGGGCUUUCCUUGAACAGUGCCCAGGGAGGGGAGCAGCAACAGCUUCACUUGGAAGUGGACUCUGGUUUUUGAGAACAUCCUAAGCUCAGUGUGGUUUUGGUAUCACUCAGUACUUAUUUUAUUUGCCAUUUGCCUUAAAUUGUAUACACCUUUGAAGUGCCAGCUGUGUUUUGAAGACAUUCUUACAGUUGUUUCAAGUGAAACUUGGAAUGCUACACAUUUAGAAAGAGAUGAUUUUCCUGUGAAUAAACUACUAAAACAAAGGGGGGGAGUGAGGAAAGCCAAGUUCAGGAGAUAACCUUACCAACUGGUUUUGGAAGUUGUUUACCUAAAUGGCCCAAAGUGGUUGGAGCUGCAGCACAAACGGGGGGGAGAAGGAGAGGUUUUGUAUUUUGACAGUUCUUGAAGUUUUUUGCAGGGACUACUGCCAGGUUCUCUUUGAAGUCCAAAGCCCAUUAGCAUGGGGAAAUGUGUGUUUGGCUUCAGAGAUAGGAGGAGUGUGUAUUUCCCUUGGAACUAGAGGAAUGUUUCUGUGUCUUUGAAUUUUAAAUUGCACAUGAAGCAGAAAUAUGUUUGUGUUUUACAGGUGAUAUUUCCAUGAAAAUAGAAAUGUAAAAGGAGAAGAUGCAAAAAACGAGCUCGAGAGUCAGAGACACAUCCUCCUAGAGCUUUCUGCUCUCUGCUGCUCCAGGCCCCCCCUGUGCUGCUGGAGCACACGGGUCCCUGCCGUCCAGCACGCAGGCUGCAUUGUGCCAGCAGGCCUGAUGCAGUGUAUGUCCUGCAGCCUCGAAGAGUUUCUCAACUAUUCCCCCUUUUUCUUUUGCACAAUCCAGGCCUGACUGAUGGUCUUUUGCUUGGUUCAUCUCUUUGUUCUAUGUGGUUCUUGAGAACUUUUAUUUUGCCAAUGAAACUUCAUUUAACUCAGGGUUAUGUGCCUCCCACUCUUUAUCCAAAGGUGCUUAUGCAUCUGUAAGGUAAUAUGGUUUAGGCAUUUGUGAGCAAAACCAGAAUAUAUUAAUAAUCAUAUAUUCAUACACUCACAUGCAUACAUUCACACAACUUUCAUGCGUGAUGGCCAUCACUUCAUGCUCUCACACAAACAUACUUUUGAGCUGUAUUUUACUGUGUUUUCUGGUUGUGAACUGAGAAAUUAUCAUUCUUGUGUUUUGCCCUCAUCUGAGUAAGAUCUAAUUAUGCAUUUCUUGUUUUUAUGAAAGUAUAGCUUGGAAAACAUAAACAUAUUUCUGCUUCACGUUCAAUUCAAAACCCAAAUACGUACAAACAUUCUUAUAGUUUAAAGAUAAAUAUAUACUCAUAUUUUUAAAGCAAAACACGCACUUCUCUAUGCAAAUGGGCUUUUGGACUUCAAAGAGAACUUGUCAAUAGUCACUACAAAAACUUCAAAAGCUCCUCUUCACCAUGUUUAAAACAAUUCUGGCUAUUUAGGCAAGCAACCUCAAGUAACAGUCAGCAAGACCAUUUCAUGAACUUAUCUUUCCUCACUCCCCCCCCUUUUUUUUUUUUGUACUGAAAUUAAACUGUUAGGUUAGUUGUUGCAUAAAUAAAAAGCUUAGCUUUGUUGACUUUGAGCUAAGUGUCCCGUGCAAGGACAGGUCUUUAUAUGAUUUGCCUGUGGCAUGCUGUAUCUCAGGGGUCUGUCUUAACAUCAUCUUCUUUUUCACUGUUUCUGUCAAAUGUUUUUGGAGAGUUGUCAACUAAUAGCAAAAUGCCAGUUAAUCUCCAGUUAUACCAGAUGGUUGUUUCAGGGCCGAAGUUCCCCUCUCUCAGCUCUUGCAUCAUCCAGUUAAGCACAAAUACAUUCCCCCCCAUGGGCUGUGGUUGGACCAGGCCAUUGUGGAGCAAGUGAAGCAGCAGAUUGGUGAAAACCAAGGAAAACAACAGAGAAUAUCUACAACAAAGGACUAAUAGUAAAAGGGUAGGCAAUAAUCUCUUUGUAACCAUAUCCAUGUUUAGUGAAGAGCUCAGAAUAGGCUCCAGCUGCUCCUGCUUCAUUGGGUCAGCCAGGGGCACUUGCAGCUAUGCCGUGGUUGCAGGUAAUCCCCAUCUCUCUGCAGUCAGCAUACAGGGGGGCAGCAUCCUACUGCUGAAUGGAGAUGUGAUCUCCACGUUGGAAUAGAUGAACAGGAGUGUUUAAUCUCACGGGGUCAGAUUGCAGAAUGAAUCUGUGGAAUUUCUGCAAAAUAGAGCCUAGACUAUUAAACAAUUGUCACAAAAGAAUUUCAAAUUUCAGAAUUUUUGUAACUUGACUGUACGAGAGGAAUAUAGGUUUUAUAGUACGAAGUGGCUGGCUGUCAGUUACUAAUAAAAGGCUGUGGUUGUUGUCCCGAUUAAUAGAAAAAAUGAAAAAGCAACUAGAAUAGUUUCCUUAAUUUACUGUAUUCUGCAUCAUCUUCCCAGCUUCUGGUCAAGCUCGCUGGAGCCACAGACUGGCUCCUCUAUUCAUGAGAAUUACUAAUGACAGAUUGAGAAUGAAUACAUUUUUAUUUGUGACUCUUUUCAUUAAUUUUAAUAUUAUCUCUAA